CCUACGGGCGGCAGCAGUGGGGAAUAUUGGACAAUGGGGGGAACCCUGAUCCAGCCAUGCCGCGUGUGUGAAGAAGGCCCUCGGGUUGUAAAGCACUUUCAGUGAGGAAGAACGCCUGGUGGUUAAUACCCAUCAGGAAAGACAUCACUCACAGAAGAAGCACCGGCUAACUCCGUGCCAGCAGCCGCGGUAAUACGGAGGGUGCGAGCGUUAAUCGGAAUUACUGGGCGUAAAGCGCGCGUAGGUGGCUUGAUAAGCCGGUUGUGAAAGCCCCGGGCUCAACCUGGGAACGGCAUCCGGAACUGUCAAGCUAGAGUGCAGGAGAGGGAGGUAGAAUUCCCGGUGUAGCGGUGAAAUGCGUAGAGAUCGGGAGGAAUACCAGUGGCGAAGGCGGCCUUCUGGACUGACACUGACACUGAGGUGCGAAAGCGUGGGUAGCAAACAGGAUUAGAUACCCGAGUAGUC
rnacentral:rRNA from 1 species